CAGAAGAAAGUUUGUGUGACUGUAUGCUACACCGGUAUUGAGUUUAUUUCAUGAUUUUUAGACCUCUAAUAAACGUAAACUUUUCAUUAUAACACAACAUAAAGCACACUACAGAUUAUUUACAUUUAAAAUUGUAAACAAAGGGCGGCCAUUUUGAACUUAGGGUCGCAGGGACGCUAUUUUAAAAAAUCCUAUGAUAUAGAAAAACGAUGCAGAAAUUUACCACAUGCAUGAUUUUUUAAAUUCAGACGUUUGUGAAACAAUUUACACACAAAAUAAAUUAUAUAUCUAUAAAAGUAUGUUUUCCCAUAAAUCCUCUCCUGAUCGCUGAUUGGUUGUAAUUUUCGGCGGGCAAAAUUGAUUGUUGUUUGUGAGAGAAAACCUAGCGUGACUCAAAUGGAACCAUGUCAUGUUUUGAUUGAAUGGAAGAUCCAAAGAUUUUUCUGAGAAUAGGAGACGUCUACUGUUGUUGGGCAUCAUUCAGGUAUUUCCGGUGUUGACUUGAAACAUUUUCAUUCACGAUGUUGCGGAUUCAUCAUUGCAUUUGCAUGGGGUAGUGCAUAUGCUGUGUGUGGCCUUCUAACCGAUAAAUCUAUGGAUUAAAGGAUGAACAGGUCGAUGCAGGAAUAUUCAUUCUAAUGAUAAGGAAAUACGAAAUGCAAGGACAACCUCCAAGCAUUCAGUACAUGCCUUACACAAACAAUGAUGGAAUGUUCCAAACUAGAUGAGCAGAAGAUGCAUUCCAUGACUGACUCCCCAUAUGUUAUGAAAGACAGCCCAUGAGAAUGGAACCAACUUUCAGUGUUACAAUGGAUGAACACUCCUCCUGUCACAAGUCCAUCUUGAUUCAGUAAAGUGGUAGUCUAUUCAUCUAGGAAGCAACAAGACGGAUCUGGACAAGGACCAUAUUGACUCAAGUUUUGGUGUCAGAAGACCAUUUUGAUUAAACAUGUUAAAAGCACCACAGAAGUAAGAAGCUAGGAUACCAGUUUUAUUUGAGCAUACCAUUUAAGGAUUCAUUACUGAACAGUUGAAGGAUAGUCACUAUGACAAGAAAAUGGAACAAUUGUAAUGAGCAUUGGGGUCCAUGUAUUUAGAGCUUUCCAUUUUUCUGUUAAAAGUCAUAUUGAUAUUGUUCUGUUUAUUAUUUUUUCUUACCAUCAAAAUGCUAUCACUCUUUAAGACAUAUUGAAACACUUUUUAGCUCACCUGAACCGAAGGUUCAAGUGAGCUUUUCUGAUCACAUUUUGUCCGUCGUCCAUCUGUAAACUUUUCACAUUUUCGACUUCUU